rnacentral:rRNA from 1 species
GACGAACGCUGGCGGCGUGCUUAACACAUGCAAGUCGAACGGAAAGGCCCUGCUUUUGUGGGGUGUUCGAGUGGCGAACGGGUGAGUAACACGUGAGUAACCUGCCCUUGACUUUGGGAUAACUUCAGGAAACUGGGGCUAAUACCGGAUAGGAGCUCCUGCUGCAUGGUGGGGGUUGGAAAGUUUCGGCGGUUGGGGAUGGACUCGCGGCUUAUCAGCUUGUUGGUGGGGUAGUGGCUUACCAAGGCUUUGACGGGUAGCCGGCCUGAGAGGGUGACCGGCCACAUUGGGACUGAGAUACGGCCCAGACUCCUACGGGAGGCAGCAGUGGGGAAUAUUGCACAAUGGGCGGAAGUCUGAUGCAGCAACGCCGCGUGCGGGAUGACGGCCUUCGGGUUGUAAACCGCUUUCGCCUGUGACGAAGCGUGAGUGACGGUAAUGGGUAAAGAAGCACCGGCUAACUACGUG